rnacentral:rRNA from 1 species
CCUACGGGAGGCUGCAGUGAGGAAUAUUGGUCAAUGGCCGGAAGGCUGAACCAGCCAUGCCGCGUGAAGGUCAGUGCCCUAUGGGCGUUAAACUUCUUUUUUUCGGGAGCAAUAAUGGUCACGUGUGGCCAGACGAGAGUACCGUAUGAAUAAGGACCGGCUAAUUCCGUGCCAGCAGCCGGGGUAAUACGGAAGGUCCGGGCGUUAUCCGGGUUUUUUGGGGUUAAAGGGAGCGUUGGGCGCAUGUCAAGCGUGCUGUGAAAUGUCCGGGGUCAACCCGGGCCUAGCCGGGGGAACUGGCGUGCUUGAGUUGGCGGAAAGCAGGCGGAAUUCGUCGUGUAGCGGUGAAAUGCUUAGAUAUGACGAAGAACCCCGAUUGCGAAGGCAGCUUGCUGCAGCGGAACUGACGCUGAUGCUCGAAAGCGCGGGUAUCGAACAGGAUUAGAUACCCUAGUAGUC